GACAGAGGGUGCAAACGUUGUUCGGAAUACUGGGCGUAAAGCGCGUGUAGGUGGCAAGGCAAGUCGGGUGUGAAAGCCCUGGGCUCAACCCAGGAAGUGCACUCGAUACUGCCUCGCUAGAGUCCCGGAGAGGUUGGUGGAACUCUCGGUGUAGAGGUGAAAUUCGUAGAUAUCGAGAAGAACACCGGUGGCGAAGGCGGCCAACUGGACGGUGACUGACACUGAGACGCGAAAGCGUGGGGAGACAA
rnacentral:rRNA from 1 species